UACGGAGGGUGCAAGCGUUGCUCGGAAUCACUGGGCGUAAAGCGACCGCAGGCGGUCUGACAAGUCGGAUGUGAAAGCCCUGGGCUCAACUCAGGAACAGCAUUCGAAACUGGCAGACUCGAGUACGGGAGAGGGGGGUGGAAUUCCUGGUGUAGGGGUGAAAUUCGUUGAUAUCAGGAGGAACACCGGCGGCGAAGGCGGCCCCCUGGCCCGCAACUGACGCUCAUGGUCGAAAGCGUGGGGAGCAAACAGG
rnacentral:rRNA from 1 species